rnacentral:piRNA from 1 species
UUCAACUGCUGGUCCGAGCAUAUGGGUGCCU